AUUUUUAUGGUGUAAUAAACAUAUUACAUUUUCACUGUAAUGUUAAAGCCUCAGGCUUUUAAAAAUU
rnacentral:tRNA from 1 species